GUUUCAGGGCGGAGUGCAAUUCUCCACUGGCGGUAAAGUCCGCGAGCCUUAUGGCCGAUUCGGUGAAAUUCCGAAACCAACGGUAUAGUCCGGAUGAAAGAA
rnacentral:ncRNA from 1 species